rfam:Struthio camelus australis contig43201, whole genome shotgun sequence.
UAAAAGGUGUUUCUCAGCACCAUUAAAAUUGUCAAUAAAUAGCAUG